GCCCCUGUGGCGGAAUGGUAGACGCAGCGGACUCAAAAUCCGUUGCCCGGCGACGGGCGUGGGAGUUCGAGUCUCCCCGGGGGCA
rnacentral:tRNA from 1 species